GUGUUUAGUGUUGUGUUAUUUUGUUGUAUUGUGAGUGUUUUCCAAUCGGAAAAAAGGUAUAGCAUAGACAUAGCGAAAGGGGAGGCAUAUGUUGCAUAUGUUUAUGUGCGGAUGGGUUUUUUUUCGUGAGGUCAGACGGACAACAGUAGGAGGAUGAGACAAUUCCAACCAGACGGUCGCCAGACCCAGUCGAUAGCCCCCCGACACGAGCAGUAGUAGUAUAAGGUGUCCGGAAUCGGGUUUCGUUCCAGUAGUGGUGAUCGAAAAUAAAGGACACGUAUCGGAGAAAAGCAGCAUAAAAGAGGAAGAGAAAC